CGUAACAAGGUCUCCGUUGGUGAACCAGCGGAGGGAUCAUUACCGAGUGUAAAAACUCCCAAACCAUUGUGAACCUACCACUGUUGCUUCGGCGGCCUCGCCCCGGGCGCGUUCGCGCGGCCCGGACCCAGGCGUCCGCCGGAGGCUCCAAACUCUUGUCUUUUAGUGUAUUUCUGAGUGGCAUAAGCAAAUAAAUCAAAACUUUCAGCAACGGAUCUCUUGGUUCUGGCAUCGAUGAAGAACGCAGCAAAAUGCGAUAAGUAAUGUGAAUUGCAGAAUUCAGUGAAUCAUCGAAUCUUUGAACGCACAUUGCGCCCGCCAGUAUUCUGGCGGGCAUGCCUGUCUGAGCGUCAUUUCAACCCUCAGGACCCGUUCGCGGGACCUGGCGUUGGGGAUCAGCCUGCCCCUGGCGGCGGCUGGCCCUGAAAUCCAGUGGCGGUUCCCUCGCGAACUCCUCCGUGCAGUAAUUAAACCUCUCGCGGCAGGAUAGCGGUUGAACCACGCCGUUAAACCCCCCACUUCUCAAGGUGACCUCAGAUCAG
rnacentral:rRNA from 1 species